rnacentral:rRNA from 1 species
AACGGCCAAACCAUGCUGAAAACACCGGUUCUCGUUCGAUCACCGAAGUUAAGCAUCAUCGGGCGUGGUCAGUACUUGGGAGGGUGUGUCACCUGGGAACACCGCGUGCUGUU